GACGAACCGUGCGAACGUUGUUCGGAAUCACUGGGCUUAAAGGGCGCGUAGGCGGUUGACCAAGUCCGGGGUGAAAUCUUUCGGCUUAACCGGAAAAGUGCCUUGGAUACUGGUCGGCUAGAGGGAUGUAGGGGCAGCUGGAACUUCCAGUGGAGCGGUGAAUGCGUUGAUAUUGGAAGGAACGCCGGUGGCGAAGCGAGCUGCUGGACAUUUCUGACGCUGAGGCGCGAAAGCUAGGGAGCAAAGCGGG
rnacentral:rRNA from 1 species